AGGUUCUCACCAAAACGAUUCAGGCGCUCUUUUCAUUUCCGGCUCAGAAAUUAGCCGAGAGAGCACACAGAGGACGGACGAAGAGAAACCUUUUGGUGAGAAACUAAAAGAGGAGUCAUACAAGAUCACUGACGGCUGUAAACCGGGAGGCAAGCGACCCAACGUCGGGAGAUGAGCUACGUCGGCUAGCUUCUAACCAUCCGUCUUGUGAGCUGUGGCAGCGCCGGAGUCAACGUGCGCCCAGCUUUGAACACAGAGCAACGGUCAGGUUUUUUGAGCGGACAGUGAAUUCCAAGGUUGCAGAACGAGAUCACAGAUGGCGAGCCGAAGGACCUAGGAGAAGAUACACGUACCAUUCACACAUACAUUCAUCUUUCACUCUCAUGAACUCUUAAUAUCAGGUGCACCUGCAACAACUCAGGGCCCCAACGGACAAUUUCAUUUUCUGUGCGCACCACCUUUCUUUUAUUUUUCCUUCUUUGUUUUGGGGGUUUUAUUCAAAUAUAUGUUAUGCUAAACUGCCACUUAUUCUGUUCUUUGUAAAAAUACAUGAGUGGUUACUCAAACUUCA